rnacentral:rRNA from 1 species
ACCAGACUCCUACGGGAGGCAGCAGUGGGGAAUAUUGCACAAUGGGGGAAACCCUGAUGCAGCGACGCCGCGUGAGUGAAGAAGUAUUUCGGUAUGUAAAGCUCUAUCAGCAGGGAAGAAAAUGACGGUACCUGAUUAAGAAGCCCCGGCUAACUACGUGCCAGCAGCCGCGGUAAUACGUAGGGGGCAAGCGUUAUCCGGAUUUACUGGGUGUAAAGGGAGCGUAGACGGCAGCACAAGUCUGGAGUGAAAUGCCGGGGCUUAACCCCGGAACUGCUUUGGAAACUGUUAAGCUGGAGUGCGGGAGGGGCAGGCGGAAUUCCUGGUGUAGCGGUGAAAUGCGUAGAUAUUAGGAGGAACACCAGUGGCGAAGGCGGCUUGCUGGGCUUUUACUGACGCUGAGGCUCGACAGCGUGGGGAGCAAACAGGAUUAGAUACCCCAGUA